GAGUUUGAUCGUGGCUCAGAUUGAACGCUGGCGGCAUGCCUUACACAUGCAAGUCGAACGGCAUCACGGGAGCUUGCUCCUGGUGGGCGAGUGGCGAACGGGUGAGUAAUGCAUCGGAACGUAUCCUGGAGUGGGGGGAUAACGUAGCGAAAGUUACGCUAAUACCGCAUAUUCUGUGAGCAGGAAAGCGGGGGACCUUCGGGCCUCGCGCUCUUGGAGCGGCCGAUGUCGGAUUAGCUAGUUGGUGAGGUAAAGGCUCACCAAGGCGACGAUCCGUAGCAGGUCUGAGAGGAUGAUCUGCCACACUGGAACUGAGACACGGUCCAGACUCCUACGGGAGGCAGCAGUGGGGAUUUUGGACAAUGGGGGCAACCCUGAUCCAGCCAUGCCGCGUGAGUGAAGAAGGCC
rnacentral:rRNA from 1 species